rnacentral:rRNA from 1 species
CUACGGGGCGCUGCAGUGAGGAAUUUUGCGCAAUGGGGGAAACCCUGACGCAGCAACGCCGCGUGAGCGAAGAAGGCCUUCGGGUCGUAAAGCUCUGUCAAGUGGGAAAAAAAUUCUUUGAUGAACAGUCAAAGGACUUGAUGGUACCACUGGAGGAAGCACCGGCUAACUCCGUGCCAGCAGCCGCGGUAAUACGGAGGGUGCAAGGGUUGUUCGGAAUUACUGGGCGUAAAGAGCGUGUAGGCGGUUUGACAAGUCAGAUGUGAAAGCCCCGGGCUCAACCCGGGAAGUGCAUUUGAAACUGUUUCACUAGAGUAUGGGAGAGGAGAUUGGAAUUCCUGGUGUAGAGGUGAAAUUCGUAGAUAUCAGGAGGAACACCCGUGGCGAAGGCGAUUCUCUGGACCAAUACUGACGCUGAGACGCGAAAACGUGGGGAGCAAACAGGAUUAGAUACCCGAGUAGUC